UGGAGAGGGACCUUUUGAAAAGUUGUUGACUAUUUAAGAGAUCAAUACAAAUCAAAUACUUUAGAUACUAAACUAUUUCAAGCCAACAAGUAAGAUACUGUCUGUCAUUUGAUUAUGAAAAUAUAGUCAUAUAUAUAUAUGAAAAAAAAAAUUGUUUUAUUUUAAGAACUAUAUAGUAGGCUUCCGUCAGUCUCAAGAGGCCAUGGAUCUGCACCUGAAGAAAUCGUGUCCGCUGCUCAUGGCAAUGCAGUGUCUGUUGUGGCUGUAUAGGCCCCCCACAGGAGUGACAGUCUUACAUACAGUAACUGCAUUUGAAAGAGGUCUCUGCCAACGCUACUGGUUUUUCCUUCUGUCAAGUGUGCUUUUUCUUUAGUGUAAGAGGAAGAUAAGAUUACAAGAUGGUGAUAUAACGAAGAUGGUUAAUAAGGAAAAUGUUGAAAUGGAUAUAUAACUUGAGAUGAAAUGAACUGGCAUAGUGUAUCUAGGAAAAACACAACUCAGUACAUCCUUCUCCUUUCUAAGAUGGCAUGGUGUGACAUAGAGGUGAUUUCAUUUUUAUUCCUAACAAGUUCAGCGACCACAAAGAUUUUCAUUAGGAUA